UACGGAGGGUGCGAGCGUUGUCCGGAAUCACUGGGCGUAAAGAGCGCGUAGGCGGCUGGGGAAGUCGGCGGUGAAAGCCCGGAGCUCAACUCCGGGUCGGCCGUCGAGACUCCUCGGCUCGAGCUCACUAGAGGCAGAUGGAAUUCCGGGUGUAGCGGUGGAAUGCGUAGAGAUCCGGAAGAACACCGGUGGCGAAGGCGGUCUGCUGGGGUGAGGCUGACGCUGAGGCGCGACAGCGUGGGGAGCAAACAGG
rnacentral:rRNA from 1 species